GCUUCACCUUCUUUCCUCUCAUGAUCUGAUUCUCAUUAUGAGUAAGGGCUUCAUCUCACUUCAUUCUUAUAUGACUGCAAGAUUUUCACUGUAGAUCACAAGCUCAAAUAAUGCAAUGAAAUAUUUGCUGCCUGGAAAAGCCCUUCCAAAUUUGAACACAAAAGUGAUCAGAGUACCAACUGAAACCUCAAAAUAAAGGUGCAAGAGUUCAUCAGGCAAAUUGGGAAGACAGAAUGACACGGGCAAAACAGAAGCCUACAAACAAAGGAGAAUGAGAAGAAUUUACAAUGAAAGAGAAGGGGGAAAGUACAAAAGGAAUAAAACUUGUUAUUACCAAAAAAAAAAAAAGUAAUGUGUAAAAUCUGCACUCCUUGUGCCCAAGGAUGCAUUUUUUCUCCAAGUGCCUCUUAGCUUGUGGUUUAAAUCAAUAAGAAAUGAGAUUUCCAGACUUUCCAUUUCCUUUCAUGUUGUCCAGUUAUUACAUCCUGCAGAGAUGAAAAAGAUUACUACUGUUGAGAAAGGGUAAAGAGAAUUCAGACUGGAAGCAUCUCUCUACAGCUGAACCUGACCCAACGUGUCCACCAUCUCA